rnacentral:misc_RNA from 1 species
UACGGAGGGUGCAAGCGUUGUCCGGAUUUAUUGGGUUUAAAGGGUGCGUAGGCGGCCCGUUAAGUCAGUGGUGAAAGCCAACAGCUCAACUGUUGAACUGCCGUUGAUACUGACGGGCUUGAGUACAGACGAGGUAGGCGGAAUUGAAGAUGUAGCGGUGGAAUGCAUAGAUAUCUUCAAGAACACCGAUUGCGUAGGCAGCUUACUAGGCUGUAACUGACGCUGAGGCACGAAAGCGUAGGUAGCGAACAGG